UACGUAGGGUGCGAGCGUUGUCCGGAAUUACUGGGCGUAAAGAGCUCGUAGGUGGUUUGUCGCGUUGUUCGUGAAAACUCACAGCUUAACUGUGGGCGUGCGGGCGAUACGGGCAGACUUGAGUACUGCAGGGGAGACUGGAAUUCCUGGUGUAGCGGUGGAAUGCGCAGAUAUCAGGAGGAACACCGGUGGCGAAGGCGGGUCUCUGGGCAGUAACUGACGCUGAGGAGCGAAAGCGUGGGGAGCGAACAGGA
rnacentral:rRNA from 1 species